UCCUCCCGAGUGCUUGCACUCAAUUGGAAAGAGGAGUGGCGGACGGGUGAGUAACACGUGGGUAACCUACCCAUCAGAGGGGGAUAACACUUGGAAACAGGUGCUAAUACCGCAUAACAGUUUAUGCCGCAUGGCAUAAGAGUGAAAGGCGCUUUCGGGUGUCGCUGAUGGAUGGACCCGCGGUGCAUUAGCUAGUUGGUGAGGUAACGGCUCACCAAGGCCACGAUGCAUAGCCGACCUGAGAGGGUGAUCGGCCACACUGGGACUGAGACACGGCCCAGACUCCUACGGGAGGCAGCAGUAGGGAAUCUUCGGCAAUGGACGAAAGUCUGACCGAGCAACGCCGCGUGAGUGAAGAAGGUUUUCGGAUCGUAAAACUCUGUUGUUAGAGAAGAACAAGGACGUUAGUAACUGAACGUCCCCUGACGGUAUCUAACCAGAAAGCCACGGCUAACUACGUGCCAGCAGCCGCGGUAAUACGUAGGUGGCAAGCGUUGUCCGGAUUUAUUGGGCGUAAAGCGAGCGCAGGCGGUUUCUUAAGUCUGAUGUGAAAGCCCCCGGCUCAACCGGGGAGGGUCAUUGGAAACUGGGAGACUUGAGUGCAGAAGAGGAGAGUGGAAUUCCAUGUGUAGCGGUGAAAUGCGUAGAUAUAUGGAGGAACACCAGUGGCGAAGGCGG
rnacentral:rRNA from 1 species